GAAAUGCGAUAAGUAAUGUGAAUUGCAGAAUUCAGUGAAUCAUCGAAUCUUUGAACGCACAUUGCGCCCGCCAGUAUUCUGGCGGGCAUGCCUGUCCGAGCGUCAUUUCAACCAUCAAGCCCCCGGGCUUGUGUUGGGGACCUGCGGCUGCCCGCAGGCCCUGAAAACCAGUGGCGGGCUCGCUGUCACACCGAGCGUAGUAGCAAUCACCUCGCUCAGGGCGUGCUGCGAGUUCCGGCCGUUAAACAGCCUUACAAAACCCAAGGUUGACCUCGGAUCAGGUAGGGAGACCCGCUGAACUUAAGC
rnacentral:misc_RNA from 1 species